rfam:Nematostella vectensis strain CH2 x CH6 NEMVEscaffold_2_Cont344, whole genome shotgun sequence.
UCUGUUGUUUAUGCCCCACGAUAACGUAGGCAGAAAAACCUACCGUUACGCGUUGGUCGUGAUUGAUA